rnacentral:rRNA from 1 species
AUUGAACGCUGGCGGCAGGCCUAACACAUGCAAGUCGAGCGAGCGGCGGACGGGUGAGUAAUGUAUGGGAAUCUGCCCGAUGGAGGGGGAUAACUACUGGAAACGGUGGCUAAUACCGCAUACUAUCAGAUGAACCCAUAUGGGAUUAGCUAGUAGGUGGGGUAAAGGCUCACCUAGGCGACGAUCCCUAGCUGGUCUGAGAGGAUGACCAGCCACACUGGGAAUGGGACACGGGCCCGACUCCCACGGGAGGCAGCAGUGGGGAAUAUUGCACCAUGGGGGCAAGCCUGAUGCAGCCAUGCCGCGUGGUUGAAGAAGGCCUUCGGGUUGUAAAGCACUUUCAGCGGGGAGGCGUUACCCGCAGAAGAAGCACCGGCUAACUCCGUGCCAGCCGCCGCGGUAAUUC